UCAUACGCUGUAAUUUUUCUAUAUAUAUAUGUAUAUUAUGCUGAGCAUCCAUUUUCUUGGAUUUGGGAGAAAAAAAUCAUUUUUCUUAAAAUAAAAAAGAAAAAUAUUGUUAAUAAUUUUUUUUUGAUAGAACAUAAUAUUGAAAUUAGAAUAGAAGAACUAAUUAUAACAAAGAUAACAAAAGCUCGCAGCAUCUAAACUAAUCAACUAAGAUCUAUCUAAAGGGAUGGGAUGUUUGAGGUACCAUCAAAAUCUCUUGCAGAACUCAUACCAGCUAAAUAUAGCGGAACACAAAGUACUAACAGAACGAGCUUUCAAAAUCCAAGAGUCUAUGGCGGUAGAAUCACCUUCUAGGAUUAGAAAUCUACAUUAUAGGCAAUAAUUAGCCAAAAUUAAGCCUUCCCAAGUUGCUCGUUACUUGGUCAUGAUAAUUGAAUUAGUCAAAAAGUAUCUUGAACCUCCUAUAAGCAAUUGAUCAUUAUGAUCUCGGAUAAUAUAAUCAGCACCACCCCGAUUGUUUUGGAUGAAGCCAUCAAAAUUGACCUUCAAGAAUCCAUUGGGGAGGGGUACCCCA
rnacentral:lncRNA from 1 species